UAUUAUUGUUGUCCUCAACCAAGCUGAGGUGACAAACACAAAGAGCUGGACAGACCAGCCUCACCAUACACAAGAGUCUCCUAGAGCCCUCUACUGGUCAAAAUCAAACAUUGCAAGAAGGUAGAAGGCACCGCGUGUCACCCACCCCCCUCAGCCUCACCUACAACCCCACCAUCACCCCUCCCCUCCCCUCUGUCUAGUAGUGCAGUAGUCCGGGAUGGUCCGUCGUGUUGCACCAGGAGGCAGG